rnacentral:rRNA from 1 species
AUUGAACGCUGGCGGCAGGCCUAACACAUGCAAGUCGAGCGGAUGAAGGGAGCUUGCUCCUGGAUUCAGCGGCGGACGGGUGAGUAAUGCCUAGGAAUCUGCCUGGUAGUGGGGGAUAACGUCCGGAAACGGGCGCUAAUACCGCAUACGUCCUGAGGGAGAAAGUGGGGGAUCUUCGGACCUCACGCUAUCAGGUGAGCCUAGGUCAGAUUAGCUAGUUGGUGGGGUAAAGGCCUACCAAGGCGACGAUCCGUAACUGGUCUGAGAGGAUGAUCAGUCACACUGGAACUGAGACACGGUCCAGACUCCUACGGGAGGCAGCAGUGGGGAAUAUUGGACAAUGGGCGAAAGCCUGAUCCAGCCAUGCCGCGUGUGUGAAGAAGGUCUUCGGAUUGUAAAGCACUUUAAGUUGGGAGGAAGGGCAGUAAGUUAAUACCUUGCUGUUUUGACGUUACCAACAGAAUAAGCACCGGCUAACUUCGUG